CUAGAUGAAAAAUUAUAGAGGCAUAAGUUAAACAGUCGUCCUUUGGAAGAACCAUAUGAUCAAGUAAAACUUUUUGCUCUCAAGUGUAUGCUUCAUCAUGUUCUGCUGUAAAAUUGGUUCUGUUUGCCCGUGGAAUUAAUUUUUUGAAUUUGAUUGGAAAUCUUCUAUGUGCCUAGGCCUUCAGUGACAAAAGUAGAGAUUAUACAGUACCAGAGUCGGGUUUUGCUGCUGCUCUGCCAGCUGGAGCAACAGUAUGGCAGAAUCCUCAUGCUGCACCAGUUUUUACCGCCAGCGAAUUUGUUGGUGUUAAUUAUGCGCAGCCUCAAGGCCCUCAUGGACAUGUCAAUUACAUGCAGCCGCUUCAAGGCCCUCCCGGACAGGGCCCUCCCGGACAGGGUCCUCCCGGGCAAGGACCUCCUGGACAGGGUCCUCCCGGGCAGGGUCCUCCUGGACAAGCUCCAUCUUGGGAUCCAGCAAUGCAGCUGAGUGGACCAUCCUUUGUUUCAGGCUCCAGCACAUUACCUGGACAAACAUAUGG
rnacentral:lncRNA from 1 species